rnacentral:lncRNA from 1 species
GUAAAAAAGCAUUCCUAAUUAAAAAACACCAUACCAGCCUCCCAAGUUGACUCAUCCGAAUCUGCCUAACUGAAACAGGGAAUCUGUUGAAAAACUUGGGAUCAAGAUAGCGAAUGUUCUUUUAAGGCGACAGAAAUCUGACCACAGACUUGGGUUAAGCCAAAUAUUAUAAGAAUGUAUGUCGCGAUAUUGAAAUCAAAGCUCUUGUACUCAAAUAUGCUUCUAGAUAUUUCUCGAAUUUGUGACCUUAAUCCUGAACCAGAACUAAUCCAGAUCCUGGAACUAGUGAACCCGGUGCUUGCAAAAAUCACCCUUACAAAAGAAGUAAAGAAGCUAGUGUUGCACAAAGUAAAGGAGGCACAAGACUUAUAAACAGAACAAGACCAAUCCCUCAUCUCUGGUAAAAGAAGGGAAGACCAGGAGCUGUCUGAUGUACCAGACAUCUACUAAAAGAAUUAUAAAAAGUACCCAGAAACUGUCCCUUUGCUGCAUACAGUAAAACCUGAUAUUCUAAUCUCAAAUGAAACCUGGCUAAACCCAACAAUAGGCAUCAACUUUCCAAACUACCCAAAUGACACAAGUUGAUGAAAAAGAGCUAUUAAAUGACAUAAAACUGCGACUUCGAGGAUUAUGCGAUAAGCUUUUAUUUAAACCAAAAGCCAACCUGUCAACCUGUGCCUUCUACAUCAGCUCUGCAUCAAUAUCAUCAUCAUUAUUAUACAUCCCUCUGAUGUCCACUGCUGAACGUAGGCCUCUCGCAUGUUUGAACAGCCAAACGGUCCUGUUUUGCACUACCUGUAUCCAGUUAGUUACUAUUCUUCUUAUGUCAUCGGUCCAUCUUGUUGGAGGCCGUUCUCUAUUUCGGUUUCUUUGUUGAUCAGUCAUCAACAGACAACUUCCACUGGUGGCAUGAGGAAUUCUAUGACCCAACGAUACCACUAACAUUAUUCUCUUCAUGCCUCUUUAAGUAAGUUGCAAUUUGAACAUCGUUGCUUUUGUUAACAUUAAACUAUUUGCACCAUACGUAAUUACAGGCAGAAUACAUUAAUCAAACAUUUUUCUUUUCAGACUCAUUGGAAUACUUGACCUGAGAAAGUCUCUUAGCUUUCCAAAUUCAGCCCAGGCUAGGCUUCAUCUUCUUAUUUACUAACUUGCAUGUUUGGUUAUCCCUACCUAUUAUCUCAUGACCCAAAUAUUUUUAUUAUUUUUCUGGCUCGAUGUUCUUGCAGUCCACGGAUGUAUUCUUGGCGUGAACCAGGUUGCUCAUGAACUGGGAUUUAGACAAGUUUGUCUUGAGACUAUUGUUUACCCUUUGAAGUAGUGAAAACUCCUUGUAGCUUUGUCUGUGACUGAUCGAAGCUGUCAGGGCUAAGUACGAUGCUAUCUGCACUCUUAUAAUUAUUUAAAAAGUUUCCACCUAUAUUAAUAUCAAUUCUAUUUAAGUCGAUAGUUUCAUAAGCAUACUCCAACAGAGAUAUAAAUCACUUUGAAGAAAUUGUGUCUUCCUGACGAACCUCUUUUUCAAUAUGAGAGCUCUCCGUAUCCUCGUCAAGCCUUACACAGUAUCUAUAGUCUAAGGUACAUUCAGGCAGAUUGACAGAAUUAAAAAAUUUCUUAUAGCCAACGAAGACCAGCAUCAAUGGUUUAUUGUAUUCAAUCGUCUUUGCAAUCAGCGUUUUAGGCAAUCAUAAGUCUAAUUUAGAUGUUAGCCGUUUAGAGAUUAUUUUUAUAAACAGUUUGUACAGGUAGGAUAACAAGCGAAUCGACCCAUAAUUGCUCAAUUUAGCAAUAUCAACUUUUUUAUGCAUUACUAAUAUUACUGCUUUAUUUUAUUUGAAAAGUGGCGUUGUAUUUAAGAGGCACGCGGUUAACAGGGUCACAGCUUUUAGUAAUAUAUGAUCCCUUACCUUAAUUGCCUCAAUAACAAGUUGCUCAUCCCCAGCUUCUUGAUUGUUCUUCAUCUCAUUCAGUGAUUUUGAGAUAUCCGCUGUGUUAUCUCUGGAAUGUUCUCUGAACUUUUAUUUUCUACUUUCCUGAUCCUAAUAUCUUCGUUUUCGUUCUCUUCUCUGUACAGAGAGCUCUCCACAAUCUUGAUGAUCUCAUCCUUAUUUGAUUCUAUUUGUCCUCGAUUGUCUGCAACCUUGGAUAUAUUUUUCUUGUUCGUAGUAAGGCCUCUUCUUAGUGAUCUUAAACUUUUGUUUUAUUCAAUGACAGUCAUAAAUUUAUUGGUGUUAUGUUGCCUUACGUCUACUUCAUCGGCUUUUUGUGCUAUAAUUUUUCUCUGCACUCUUAACAUCUUCCAGGUUGCAUGUAACAGGCGAUUGUUCAUUGUUUCUACGUCCUUUCCUCCUCAAGACUAUUUCGAAAAGCAUUCAUGUUGCUUGCAUUUGCAUAAUGCAUUUCUGUUGUUUGUCAUUAUGAAGUCUAUUUCGUUCCUAGUUUUACCGUCUGGACUAGCCCACCUUCUUUGAGGGCUCUUCCUGAAGCUGUUCAUUGCAAAAAAACCAUUUUGCAAUAAAAAGUUCAAAAGCCUUCAAACUCGUUAAUUGUAUUGUUCAUACCCGUGGGGUUCCAAUGCUGGUUCAGUUUCAUUUGCUUAAAAUUAAAUGGAAAUUUGUCCCAGCUUGAAAUUAAGUCGUCAAUAGUUACGUUGUAUUUUGUAGGGGUUUGCCAAAUUACACUGUUCAGAUCUUCAAAAGGUUUCGACUUCUUCUGGUUGAUCACGCGGGGAUUUUAGCUCGCUGGGCAGAGCGCAUUGUUCUGUGUGGUUCUGCAUUUCCUCAGUACCCGUUAGAACGGUUAAGCGGCCGUGACUCGGUCGUCACAGCCUCGUUAGUUCUUUAGCAGGGUGCACCGGAUAACUUUAUGACACGACCAGGUGAGGUUGACAUUUGGGUUGGUACAUCAAUAUAAACUCCUAGAAAUGUAUACGUCUUAUCUGCUCCAUUGAUAUCUAGAAGAUGUCUAACUGUAAAGAUUAUGGUGGUUAUUUUGGUCUUGUUUAAGUGAAGCCCAUUGAACCAAAGCUUAGUCCUCUAUCGCACUCUCUUAGACUCGUGCAACAGAAACCACGGAAGCUGAGAUGGUGGUGUAAUCAGCAAAAACUGUAAACUUAACUUUGCAUCCGAUAUUUGGCAAAUCAUUGACAAAAAAAUUAAAAUAGAAGAGGCCAAAGCAUAUACCUUUCAGCUAGCUAUAUGUAUAUCCUUGUGGGGCUUCAAUGUCAAUAGUAAUUUCCGCUGAUGUAGCAUCACCAACCCGAACCAACUAGUUCUGCUAGUCGAAUAAGAUGUUAUUAGAUCAAACCUAUUACUGUCAAAAUAAACUGCCGCUAGUUUUUGAAUGAAGAAAUCAUAAGACACAGUGGAAUGCCUUGCUGAGAUCACAGAAUAAGAUGAUCAUUUUGUCUGAUGAGCAUCCUGAAGUGCCACCCUGUUUUUUACUCUAAACUUAUUUAGGGCUACUUUGAAGUCCUCACAUGGGCAAUCAUUAAACCAUGAGAUAUUGUUAGCUUGAUCAGAACGCAUCUUAAAUACAUUUUCUGGACAGGAGCUGAAGUAAUAAUUUCUCAAUAAUGAAAUAAACUGUUCAAAUUUAUUUAAAGAUUUCCUUCUUGUUCAAAACCAACAAAACUCCAAUCUCUCCAAUUCCUGAACAAAACUCCAAUCAAUACUAUAAACCAGAAAAAGGAAGAGAAUGUCCCAGCCUGUGUAAGGGGCCGACAAAUCUUUUGAUCUAUUUUUGCAUUUGUAUUAUUGCUUGUAACGUUGUACUUUUACCAAGACAAAUAAAGAUUCACUAAGAAAAAUAUUAUCGAGUAGGGUAUCUGAGACAAAAACAAAUAAAGAAAUUAAUGAAAAUUUUCAUUCUCUCGGGUUGGAGAUUAUGUUGGUCAAAUAUCUCAUAGAGAUGCACAUCUUCUCGUCAACACUGCCUAAUUCAACAUUAAAAUCAAUCCGCUACAAUUAUCUGUUUAGUUAUUCCUAGAGCUGCCAGUACAGUCUCCAUUGAGUAAAAGAGUUGUUGAGUGUGGAUUGAGAAAAUCUUGAAAUUGCCAAAGGCUUUACAAAAAUAUAAAUAUUCUGAAAACAUAUGUAACAAUUGCAUUGAUCUGAAAGCUGAUGAGCUUUUUUAUCGAAACGAUCCUUAGUAGUUUCCUCGUGGAUACAACCGUUUAACAAGUUAUUGAGUAGUUUUCCAGUGACAAAAUCUUCAAGCUGUAAAUCAUCUUUCCUUAUAUCUUUUACGGUUUCCAAUUUGGGAGACCCUAUACACACACA